rnacentral:tRNA from 1 species
AGCAAGUUCGUUCAGCGGGAGGACCCGCGACUCUGACUCGCGUGACCCAGGUUCGAAUCCUGGACUUGCUGCCA